UACGUAGGGAGCAAGCGUUGUCCGGAAUCAUUGGGCGUAAAGCGCGCGUAGGCGGCCUCAUAAGUCCGUUGUGAAAGUCAAAGGCUCAACCUUUGAAAGCCGAUGGAUACUGUGAGGCUAGAGUUCAGAAGAGGCGAGUGGAAUUCCUGGUGUAGCGGUGGAAUGCGCAGAUAUCAGGAGGAACACCAAUAGCGAAGGCAGCUCGCUGGGACGAUACUGACGCUAAGGCGCGAAAGCGUGGGGAGCGAACAGG
rnacentral:rRNA from 1 species